GACAUGCGUAGUGCGACAUCUAGUGACGACGGUUGGCGGGCUUCUAUUUUAUUCACCGACAGCAAAUUCACCGCCACUAACUGCCGACUGCUACUGCGUUUCUGCGGGCCCACUGACAGUCAGACCCCUACUGUGCCUUUUAUGGAGUGGAUGGCACCACCUGCCCCAUCUUACUUCAGCCAGAUAGACGACUUUUGUCCCCAUCCUCUUGGAAGGAGCCACUCUGCACCGCCAUGGCACCAGAACAGUCUGACACAGAGAAGGCUGAGAUAUGUACAACUCUGAGCACCCUGUAUGAGGUCAUCAGCAGCAACAGCAGUCCUGCAGUAAGAUUCAUAACCAGCAGGUGCUGCUUUAUCCCAGUGCCCUGACUGGGAGUGCUGGCCAGUGUUUUGAAGUCAUUGAAGAGAGAGGGGGGUCCUCUAAGGGAGAACCACCUCCACAGGUUCCAGCUUGAUAGGUACUGCACCAGGCCGACGUAGAUGUCUGAUCCAGAGGCUCCUGACCUUUAAUAAAUAAAAGUCAUAGGGUGUCGUGUGUGGCCUCUUUGUCAAGGAGUUAGCUAUGGCCAUUUGGGGACAGCUACCCUGAAAACAAGGAGCCCAACCACCACCCCUUGACCCCAACAGAAUUGAAGUCACUGAGAGGUCCAAACCUUCAGGUGCACAAGGAAGAAAAUGGAGAAAAGAGGAGGAAAAGAAAGCCCAAUAUAGAGAUGCUCUCAGGAAACAUCUGCAGAAGCCUCCAGCUGCUGGAGAAGUUACAUCUGAUCUCCCAUCUACACCAAACUCUGAAGCAGAUUUGCCUGCAGGUGAAGGAACAACAAGCACAACAUUCACUGCUACUCUACAGCCUGCAGACACCAUCAACUGGAACAGAUCCUG